AACAUACCUAAACGUUGCUUCGGCGGGAAUAGACGGCCCCGUGAAACGGGCCGCCCCCGCCAGAGGACCCUUAACUCUGUUUCUAUAAUGUUUCUUCUGAGUAAAACAAGCAAAUAAAUUAAAACUUUCAACAACGGAUCUCUUGGCUCUGGCAUCGAUGAAGAACGCAGCGAAAUGCGAUAAGUAAUGUGAAUUGCAGAAUUCAGUGAAUCAUCGAAUCUUUGAACGCACAUUGCGCCCGCCAGUAUUCUGGCGGGCAUGCCUGUUCGAGCGUCAUUACAACCCUCAGGCCCCCGGGCCUGGCGUUGGGGAUCGGCGGAGCCUCUCUGUGGGCACACGCCGUCCCCCAAAUACAGUGGCGGUCCCGCCGCAGCUUCCAUCGCGUAGUAGCUAACACCUCGCGACUGGAGAGCGGCGCGGCCACGCC
rnacentral:rRNA from 1 species